ACGGGCCUUGAGAGAGGAAGCCCGGAGAUGGAUUCUGAGACACUAAUCCAGGUCCUACGGGGCGCAGCAGCUGCGAAACUUUCGCAAUGGGCGUAAGCCUGACGAAGGAAUUUGGAGUGCUUCCUCCUUUGGAGGGGGCUUUUGCCAAGUCUAAAUAGCUUGGUGAAUAAGUGGUGGGUAAUACGGGUGCCAGCCGCCGCGGUAAUACCCGAGCCACGAGUGGUGACCGCGACUAUUGGGCUUAAAGCGUUCGUAGCCGGCCCGGAAAGUCUCUGAUGAAAUCCUGCAGUCAACUGCAGGGCUUGUCAGGGAUACUACUGGGCUUGGGACCGGGAGAGGCCGAGGGUAUUCCUGGGGUAGGAGUAAAAUCCUAUAAUCCCAGGAGGACCACCUGUGGCGAAGGCGCUCGGCUAGAACGGAUCCGACGGUGAGGGACGAAAGCUAGGGGAGCAAAGCGGAUUAGAUACCCGCGUAGUCCUAGCCGUAAACGAUGCCCACUAGACAUUGGCAGCCUCAUGUGGGUUGCCAGAGUC
rnacentral:rRNA from 1 species